GGAGGGGUGGCAGAGCGGUCGAAUGCGGCGGUCUCGAAAACCGUUUCGGGCUCUUCGGUCCGACGGGGGUUCAAAUCCCCCCUCCUCCG
rnacentral:tRNA from 1 species